rnacentral:rRNA from 1 species
CUAUCUACAGGCUUAACACAUGCAAGUCGAGGGGCAGCAUGGUCUUAGCUUGCUAAGGCCGAUGGCGACCGGCGCACGGGUGAGUAACACGUAUCCAACCUGCCGUCCACUCUUGGACAGCCUUCUGAAAGGAAGAUUAAUACAAGAUGGCAUCAUGAGUCCGCAUGUUCACAUGAUUAAAGGUAUUCCGGUAGACGAUGGGGAUGCGUUCCAUUAGAUAGUAGGCGGGGUAACGGCCCACCUAGUCUUCGAUGGAUAGGGGUUCUGAGAGGAAGGUCCCCCACAUUGGAACUGAGACACGGUCCAAACUCCUACGGGAGGCAGCAGUGAGGAAUAUUGGUCAAUGGGCGAGAGCUUGAACCAGCCAAGUAGCGUGAAGGAUGACUGCCCUAUGGGUUGUAAACUUCUUUUAUAAAGGAAUAAAGUCGGGUAUGGAUACCCGUUUGCAUGUACUUUAUGAAUAAGGAUCGGCUAACUCCGUGCCAGCAGCCGCGGUAAUACGGAGGAUCCGAGCGUUAUCCGGAUUUAUUGGGUUUAAAGGGAGCGUAGAUGGAUGUUUAAGUCAGUUGUGAAAGUUUGCGGCUCAACCGUAAAAUUGCAGUUGAUACUGGAUAUCUUGAGUGCAGUUGAGGCAGGCGGAAUUCGUGGUGUAGCGGUGAAAUGCUUAGAUAUCACGAAGAACUCCGAUUGCGAAGGCAGCCUGCUAAGCUGCAACUGACAUUGAGGCUCGAAAGUGUGGGUAUCAAACAGGAUUAGAUACCCUGGUAGUCCACACGGUAAACGAUGAAUACUCGCUGUUUGCGAUAUACUGCAAGCGGCCAAGCGAAAGCGUUAAGUAUUCCACCUGGGGAGUACGCCGGCAACGGUGAAACUCAAAGGAAUUGACGGGGGCCCGCACAAGCGGAGGAACAUGUGGUUUAAUUCGAUGAUACGCGAGGAACCUUACCCGGGCUUAAAUUGCAGAUGAAUUACGGUGAAAGCCGUAAGCCGCAAGGCAUCUGUGAAGGUGCUGCAUGGUUGUCGUCAGCUCGUGCCGUGAGGUGUCGGCUUAAGCGCCAUAACGAGCGCAACCCUUGUUGUCAGUUACUAACAGGUUCCGCUGAGGACUCUGACAAGACUGCCAUCGUAAGAUGUGAGGAAGGUGGGGAUGACGUCAAAUCAGCACGGCCCUUACGUCCGGGGCUACACACGUGUUACAAUGGGGGGUACAGAGGGCCGCUACCACGCGAGUGGAUGCCAAUCCCCAAAACCUCUCUCAGUUCGGACUGGAGUCUGCAACCCGACUCCACGAAGCUGGAUUCGCUAGUAAUCGCGCAUCAGCCACGGCGCGGUGAAUACGUUCCCGGGCCUUGUACACACCGCCCGUCAAGCCAUGGGAGCCGGGGGUACCUGAAGUGCGUAACCGCGAGGAGCGCCCUAGGGUAAAACUGGUGACUGGGGC